AACGAACGCUGGCGGCAUGCCUAACACAUGCAAGUCGAACGAGACCUUCGGGUCUAGUGGCGCACGGGUGCGUAACGCGGGGGAACCUGCCCUUAGGUUCGGAAUAACUCCCCGAAAGGGGUGCUAAUACCGGAUAAUGUCUUCGGACCAAAGAUUUAUCGCCUUUGGAUGGGCCCGCGUUGGAUUAGCUAGUUGGUAGGGUAAAAGCCUACCAAGGCGACGAUCCAUAGCUGGUCUGAGAGGAUGAUCAGCCACACUGGGACUGAGACACGGCCCAGACUCCUACGGGAAGGAGCAGUGGGGAAUAUUGGACAAUGGGCGAAAGCCUGAUCCAGCAAUGCCGCGUGAGUGAUGAAGGCCUUAGGGUUGUAAAGCUCUUUUACCCGGGAUGAUAGUGACAGUACCGGGAGAAUAAGCACCGGCUAACUCCGUG
rnacentral:rRNA from 1 species